GCAUCAAUGGGGUAGUGGUAACCUGGGUCGUUGCCACUGGUAAUGGUCAUUUCGACCCGCCGCGAGUUCAAUUCUCGCUUGAUGCA